rnacentral:rRNA from 1 species
CCAGAGAACUUUCCAGAGAUGGAUUGGUGCCUUCGGGAACUCUGAGACAGGUGCUGCAUGGCUGUCGUCAGCUCGUGUUGUGAAAUGUUGGGUUAAGUCCCGCAACGAGCGCAACCCUUAUCCUUUGUUGCCAGCGGUUAGGCCGGGAACUCAAAGGAGACUGCCAGUGAUAAACUGGAGGAAGGUGGGGAUGACGUCAAGUCAUCAUGGCCCUUACGAGUAGGGCUACACACGUGCUACAAUGGCGCAUACGAAGAGAAGCGACCUCGCGAGAGCAAGCGGACCUCAUAAAGUGCGUCGUAGUCCGGAUUGGAGUCUGCAACUCGACUCCAUGAAGUCGGAAUCGCUAGUAAUCGUGGAUCAGAAUGCCACGGUGAAUACGUUCCCGGGCCUUGUACACACCGCCCGUCACACCAUGGGAGUGGGUUGCAAAAGAAGUAGGUAGCUUAACCUUCGGGAGGGCGCUUACCACUUUGUGAUUCAUGACUGGGGUGAAGUCGUAACAAGGUAAGCGUAGUGCU